rnacentral:lncRNA from 1 species
AUGAUCUGCCUGUGUCGGCCUUCCACAGUGCUGGGAUUACAGGCAUGAGCCACCGCGCCUGGCAGAUGGUAAACUUUUUGAAGGUAUCCACCCCUCCAUACGCACUACCCAUCUCCAGGCCUAGCACAGUCAGUGAUGUGAUGAUAAAUAUUUAGCAACCAGCUUUGCAGGGAGAAAGGAAUCAAGUUAGGGGAGCCCUGAUUGGUAACAUUUGCUGAUUUCAAUGGCACAAAUAUUCCCUCCAUGGCUGAGUUCAAGCUACCAACAUGAUGUCAUUCAAUGGAGUUGGAAAGCAACGUACAGAAGCACAUGGUUAUACAGUGCAUCCACCACACAGAUGCAGCAAAUGUGAGUAAAUUCAAGGUCAUUGUAAAAUGUAAAGAGGAAAUAAGUUUUGAGUAUUACUUUUGCUUGUAAUAUCAUAUCUUUAAUUGUACAUUUAUGUAAUUUAAUUCUGAAUAAUGGCCAUGAUUAAAAGCAGCUCACAACGUUUCUGAAAUUUUAACAUUCAGCUCUCACAAGUCACUAUGUCCAUCUUUAGCACACCAUUCAUGAUUCACUGUAAGACAUGCUAGAUACCAAUUGUUAAAAGAAAAACUCUAAACAAAUUAAAUUUAACAAAGUCUAAUUGAACAAAGAACAAUUCACCAUUAGGGUAGCCUCCCAAACCAGAAUAGGUUGAGAGCAAGGCUGGCUCUGCCGUGUAGUCAAAGAGGAUUUAUGGAUAGAAAGAGGAAAGUGACGUACAGAAAACGGAAGUGAGGUACGGAAACAGCUGAGUUGGUUACAGCUGGGCAUUUGCCUUAUUUGAACAGAGUUCGAACAGUUGGCCACCUGUGAGUGGUUGAAUUAUGGCUGCUGUGAUUGGCUGAGAAUGAACUAUUUGUUAUGAGAAGAUUAUAGUCGGCUUCUACAUCCAGUUAAGCUAUAGUUCACUAUGUACACAGAAGCCUGCAAGCAGAACUUAACAUAUGUAAGGAGGCAGCUUUAGGCUAAACUUAAUUUAACACAAUGAAUGUUUGUGGAAUGAGCUUCACUGGACUCCCUAAACUGAUGAAAACAUCUGUUUUAUCAUUCAAAUUCUAGAAGGGUUUUUUUUAACCAAAAUAAUUAAUAAGCAGUUACUAAGCAUUAACUACAUGCACAAAAGCUGAGUGCUAGGGGUUGGGGAAAAUAAGUAACAUGUAUUAAAUGUUACUGUGUGCCAGUCACUAUUCUAGAUUCUUUAAUAAGUGAAUUAAUGCAUGCAACAGCUUUAUAAGGAGCUAGUAUUAUUAUUCCCAUGUUAUGAGGGAAAUUGCAGCACAGAGAAGAUUAUAAGCUCGAUAAUGCCACUACUUGAACUCUCUAAUGUCAGGAUAAAUAAAUUAAAAUGAAGUAAAAUCUCUGCUUUCAGCAGUCUCAUAAAGAGACAUGUACAUAGGUAUCUAUUUCACAUGCAAACACUCAAUUUAGUUCAUGGAUCAAACUUUAGGAUCUUGUUCAGAUUUUAAACUACUGAAAGAUUUUAUAGUUUCAACAGUCACAGUGCACUUGAAAUUAUGGUCUAUUUUAAUAAAAUGUGCCUUUAUGGAUAAAUAAAUUAAUGGAUAAAUUAAUUAAUUAAAUGACAAUUCGGAAAAGCAAUUAAUUAGUUUGGUUAACAUGGUCAAUAGCUGCAUUUUUAAUUAGCAGUGAUUUAGCAUACAUUUUUUAUAGCCACUGCCUAUUUCUCUUCAUGCCACAACUUGCAGAGAAUUAAGUUAUAAAACUAGUUUAUAUGCCUAUAAAAACCACAAGCUCUGCUAAAUGGAAAACAAAGAAGGUAAUUUGUACUGUCAAAUCAUCUUUUUAAACUUAGGAGGAGGGAUUAGGGGCUGGCUGAUUCAGAGUAAGAAAUGCAAAACCUGUAAGGAUAAACUCACCCUUUAAAAUAAUGUCUGACCCAACUUUUUAAAUCUAUUUUCAAACUACAACAAACUUGUGACUCUGAGGGACAAAAGUGUUUGUCCAAAUGCUUGUCACAUUGGUUCACACUGAAAACAGCUUUAAAAUCACCUCGCAUAAAAUGUAGUAAUGUCAUAAGACUUCUCAGAAUCCUAUGAAUAUAACUUCAAUAAUAUUACUCAAGCAUCUAUAUGUUUAAAGACAGACUUAAUCAGUCUUUUGAGUACUGAUUGGUUUUGGAUUUCCAUACUUUUAUUUUAAUUUUGAGACGUCUUAGUUCCAAGGCUGAAACAACUUAAUUGCUUUUGCAACAGAAUUCCCUACCUUUGAUGGGAAGCCAAUGACAGAGACUCCUCAGAGGGCUGAGUUGUUCUGCCUGUCUGAGCCACUUUUAUUCAAUUAUUUUACAUCUAGAGCUCACAAUUUUCCUCUGCCAUUUCCGGGAUCCCUUGUUGGAGUUGUGUCCACCUUUGUAAUAGAAUUCUUCCCCUGGGCAUGGAAAUAUUACUGAGGCCUCCUUUAAUAAUUUUAACAAGGUGUUGUGCAAAAAGACAUUUAUUUCAUGUGGGCGAUGUGUGGGAAAAAUAUCUUUUUAAUCCUGGAUUUAUAUAUUCAUAUAUAUAUAUAUAUAUGUAUAUUU